rnacentral:lncRNA from 10 species
GGCCCCGCCGCCACCCUCCGCGCUGGGACGCCGGGGCGCGGGCAUCCCUGCCGCCUACGGAUCUCUUCCCAAGCACCUAGAACUUUCCAAAGCGUGCUUGGAAUUUAACACCUUGGUCGUCGAUCCCCGCAAAUAUACUCUGAUGAGACCGGCUUUCUUCCCAUACCGCCCAGGAGUUUCUCCAGGUGGCAUUCCUGUCGCCUUGAGGUGGAACAUCAGUAGAGGCUCGAGGCUGAAGCAAGCACAAUACACAAGAGACUCCGAUUCGUACAGGAACAUUUCGAAAACAGGAAAUCCUGAGGACAAUUAUUUCAUCCUGAGCAGGAACACAUUUACUCUUAUAAAAGUUUCAGCUUGAGAGACAGCUGGCAAGAUGGCUGAAUAGGAACAGCUCCAGUCUGCAGCUCCCAGCAAGAUCAAUGCAGAAGCCAAGGGAAGCCGUGAGCAACUGUGCUGGGAGGAACAGUGCAAUCUGGCCCAGAUACUGCGCUUUUCCCACAGUCUUUGCAACUGGCAGACCAGGACAUUCCCUUCGGUGCCUGGCUCAGUGAGUCCCACCCCCACGGAGCCCAGCAAGGUCCAAUUCUUUUCUAAAAGUCUUCUGGCUAGUCCCAGCAUUUCCAGGGAAGCUGAACAGGUGCAGCCGGAGGCUUGGAGCCACUAUGGAAGCAGCACAGUUGAUGCCUCAGAGGAUCCAGAGAAAAGACCAGAUAACUAUAAUUCAGCCUUCACCCAUAUUGUGUCUUUUUGAUUUUGUCUGAGUAUAUAUGCCGCACAACAAGCAGCUUAUCUCUGAGAUUCAAAUAGUUACUGCAAUUCCAUUAUCUGUUUUUUUACUGUGAGGGAUUUGGAGCCACAUUUAGUCCUACAUCACAGAUACAGGACUCAAGAGUCAAAGUGCACAGAAAUUUGAAUUCCGAUAAGAAUACUCUGAGCCAGUUUAUUCUGGGGUACAUACUUCAUUUUAUGCUAGAACUCUGCAAUCCUGAUGAAAGAGGGCUUGCAUUGCUCAACUAACUAACUCACCCGUCUCUCCUGCAGUAUUAGAAACUACUUCUGUAUGUACACGUUACAGUUUCUAGGAACUCCAUUUUUGCAAGACAGAUAGGAGCCAGAAAAUUUGUUCCUUCAACUGUAUAUCGCUAAUUAAACAUAAAAUCAAAUCAGCAUUUUAGGUACUUGAAUAACUAGUCUGUGCUUACUUUUAUUCAUAUGGAAGCAGUGUUUAAAUUAUUCUCUGAUUGUAAACUCACUUAUGUAAACCAUUAUACAGGAAAAAAAUGAGUAAUGAAGCAAAGUUCUGAAGCAGAUCUAUGUAAGCAAAUUUCAAUAACCUUCUUAAGAGAAUAUGACACUUAGUAGUGGUGAGGGACAUUUUAAGCUUUUUCUAUUUACAAGUUUUUUUUAAACGAGGGUGUUUCAAAGUAAAUAUUUGCUGUUACGUUAUGCCACAUGAUAUACUAAUAAAUGAAUUAAUGAAAUUAACCUAAAUAUCCAGUAUUAUUAUUGAAUAUAUAGCUACUAAAAUUUUAUAUUCAAAUAUAUCCAAGGACAUGAGGAAAUAAGGAUUUAAUUCUAAACAAAAAAAGAAGCUAUGAAAUAUAUAUAAUUUAAGACUAUAAUUUUGUUAAAAAUAUGUUUAUGUAAAUGCGCUAAAAAAAGUUCUUUAAGAAUAUAUGCCAAAAUAUUGACAAUGGUUAUCCCCUGAGUGAUUUUUAUUUUCAUCCUUAGGAUUUUCUGUAUUUUCUGUUUCACAUUUUGAACAUGUAUACUUUUACAAGAAAAUAUGAACUAAAAUUAAAAAUUUUUAAACUCCUCAAGUUUCAAUUUUUUUUUUCCAG